rnacentral:rRNA from 1 species
UAGCGGCGAGCGAAGCGGGAAGAGCUCAAAUUUAUAAUCUGGCACCUUCGGUGUCCGAGUUGUAAUCUCUAGAAAUGUUUUCCGCGUUGGACCGCACACAAGUCUGUUGGAAUACAGCGGCAUAGUGGUGAGACCCCCGUAUAUGGUGCGGACGCCCAGCGCUUUGUGAUACAUUUUCGAAGAGUCGAGUUGUUUGGGAAUGCAGCUCAAAUUGGGUGGUAAAUUCCAUCUAAAGCUAAAUAUUGGCGAGAGACCGAUAGCGAACAAGUACCGUGAGGGAAAGAUGAAAAGCACUUUGGAAAGAGAGUUAACAGUACGUGAAAUUGUUGGAAGGGAAACGCUUGAAGUCAGACUUGCUUGCCGAGCAAUCGGUUUGCAGGCCAGCAUCAGUUUUCCGGGAUGGAUAAUGGUAGAGAGAAGGUAGCAGUUUCGGCUGUGUUAUAGCUCUCUGCUGGAUACAUCUUGGGGGACUGAGGAACGCAGUGUGCCUUUGGCGGGGGUUUCGACCUCUUCACACUUAGGAUGCUGGUGGAAUGGCUUUAAACGACCCGUCUUGA